rnacentral:misc_RNA from 1 species
UACGGAGGGUGCGAGCGUUAAUCGGAAUUACUGGGCGUAAAGGGUGCGUAGGUGGAUAGACAAGUUAGAUGUGAAAGUUCUGGGCUCAACCUAGGAAUUGCAUUUAAAACUGUUUGUCUAGAGUACAGUAGAGGAUAGUGGAAUUUCCGGUGUAGCGGUGAAAUGCGUAGAUAUUGGAAGGAACAUCAGUUGCGAAGGCGGCUAUCUGGACUGAUACUGACACUGAGGCACGAAAGCGUGGGUAGCAAACAGG